UUAACUGUAAUGUUUUUUUUUUUGGUAACAUUUGGUUGGGACCCAAUUGGUAAAUCGGCGACGGCACGGCAAUCGUAAAAUUCUGCCCCGCCGACCGUCGGUUUUCAGUUCAUCCAAUUUCGGAAACUUAAUAAUCUCCGACGUUUUGCCAAACCCUCCAUAACCUCUAUUCUCAUCACCGCCGCCCUCUUAAACACUGUCAUUGAAUGGGGAAAAGACGCCGGAGCCUUACAUUUUGUGGAAUGCGAAGGAAAUUAAGGCCCCUAAUGGAGAAGGCUGAAAUCAAAAUCAGUUAACCUACCUGGUUAGAUUUGACACAUUGCAUUAUGGAGUUACUGUCAAAUUCCUGAAUUCAGUGAUUCGUGGGACCAGUAGGCCUAAUUCUGCCACUCCAUUAUCUUGCUCAUUUGUUGGGGCGUCACAAGAAUCAGGUAAUCAGGAAGUACCUUGGAGGGGGAAGUAGCCUUUUUCCUGCAGUAGUGGCAAUGAUUCAUACAGAACGGAAGCCAACAGGCCGCCAGUUCUUAGCGCCAGCCUUGGGAGGUUGAGUUGGUCAGCAACUACCCCUGCAAACUCCCACAAAGGGUCUGAUAUCAAGCAUGCAACUGGCUCCUUGUCCUUGAAUGCGUCCUCCAGAAUCUGGGAUAAGCAAUUCUGGAAAGACUCCAAACAGUUCUUAUUAAGGAUAGUUAUGGUAUCCAAAGAACCUGACAAAGGCGUUUUAGCUUUUGACAGGACAUCUUCAAUGAAGUGAAAGUUGAAGUUGGGGAAUUCAAUA